rnacentral:lncRNA from 1 species
AUACUUUGAUGGAUGAUAAAUUUACUUCUCUUAUGUAUGUAUAUCGCGCAUAUGUGUGUACGCAUACAUACGCAUAUAAAUGUAUACUUUUUUGAACAACGAUUCUUCCUUAACUUUACUUCUAAUAACAUAAAUACAGUAUAUAAGAAUACAUAUUUUAUAUAUGUUUGGAAAUAGUACAUUAGUAAUAGCUAUUAAAUCUCUAAUAAAGGAAACAUGAGUCACGAACAGGUGGGAGAGUUCUGUACACGUCACAGCACGCUUGGCUGACGAUUUCUAUCAGCAGCGACGGAAGAUGUGAUGACAACGUCUCUGGUGAUUCUCUUUAAUGACAGGAGUGAUGCUUUCCCGGUCUGGCCGAGACCUAUGCUAAAUACUAAAAACCACCAUUAUCUUACCUAAUCUCACGCACUCUCAGAUUUCAUUCGACAGUUGGCAUUUAAAAACCGAUACAAAUUUCUUUACACCAGGCAUAAAAUGCUACAGAUUUUAUUGUCGACGUAUGAAAAUUGAUGAAAAUAUCGGGAUUAUGCCAAAAGUUAUAAUAUUUAAAGAAAAAGAAAUCGAAACCCACCUUGGGAUUCAAUUCGAUUUGCAUCCCAAGGUUUGAUUGGCUGCAGUACGGACUUUUUAACUAAUCAAGAUGGAAAAUGAGUGGCACACCAUCCAGAAUAAUGCCAAAAUUAGCCUAUUAAUGGAAAAGAAAGAGGCUAAAGAGUGCAGCCAUAUUUUUGAAUUUAACUUCGCCUCUUUUAAAGAAUGAAAGUGUUUCCAGAUAUUGUAACGCAGUAUGUUGUUACUGCGCUACUAUUUACGAAUUCGGACUAGAAAAACUUGGAAAUAUUUGACCAGUCUCGCAUUUUUAACUAUUAAUAGGCCAAAAAAUUCUAUAAAAGUCGAGAGUAAUUUCCGUCAUCCCUUUAUUUGAAGUCAGAGUUUAAAUGUAGUCCAAGGAAUAAAUGCUCUCGGAAAAAGUAGAUGUUAACACAACUUUCCACUAUUGUAACUGUGAGCGGCGAAAAACAAUCGACCCACUGUCAGCCAUUUCAUUCACUUAAAAACCCUUUUAGCCACGUGUGACCGGAUUACGGACGUUUAAAGCCAACUGGCAAUCGCUUUAUCGCUUUCAGAAACAUAAAAAAUAUCCGAACUAUAAAUGAACCUUGAACGGGCACAAAAAGAGAGAAUAGAGACUUCUUUAUAACUCGGAUCAUCGACCGAAAUGAAAAUAUUAUUAAUGUUAUCCCAUAUCUACAUUAAGUACAUAGUUGAACAACCUGUUCUGGAGAGGCAGCACCAACUUUUUAAUAAGUGGUUGUAGCGCACAAAUACAUACUAGUUUGUUAGACAAUGGUGAAAUUCCUUCUGGUUUUUUUAUUUUCGUCCCCAGCCAUCUACCAGUGAAAUUCAUUCGAUUCUGCUGGGUAUAGUCGCCCAUAUAAUUGCUGUAACGUCAACAACCACUUUGUUUAUUCAGUAUUAAGUUGAGGCAGAAUUAAAGUCAACAUAAUAUAUUUGCAGUCGGUGGCAGAGUUUUCCUAAUUUGCUUCUGCAAUAACAUUCCGAGGGAAGGAAUUUAAUAAUUUGCUUUGUUAAUUCCCCUAUUGUAAAUUGGCUGUUAUCAUUGGUAAACAAUCUCAGGUUCGAAUGGCGGCGCGUCUCGGCCACGGCUGCAGAAAUUGCCACAUUAAAGCCAAUUAAAUGGCUGGUGUUACCAGACGUCGAGAGUAAUACGGCCACCGAUACUAGUUUCCACUUAUACAUGUUAAAGAGAGUAAAGGUCGAGUGCGACGCCAGUCGAUCGCGCCGUUCUCCUACGCGACGCGACGAUGUGGGUUUCAGAUAAGCUGGUUUAGCCGACGAUAAGAGGCUUUAGGAAACGGAAUAAAAUUUAAAGCCCGAAACAUAGGUUAUAAAUAAAAUGUAAUUAUCUGACUCGCUUAUAUUUAUAGCCUCUUUAAAGGCCGGAGAGUCGGAUAGCGCGUCCACCAUUCGCGUCGCUCCAAUGAGCGAUGUAUCACCACCGUGUUACGUUAAGAUAAGAGAGUUCGGCUUAAGAGUUUACAGUUUAUUUAGAAUGCUAAUUAUCUGUUAACUAUCUCCUCUUAAAAGACACCGGCGUCAGUUUUGCCCGACAAUAUCAGCCACCCCGCGCCGGCUGAUCCAGAUUGACCAAACCAGCCAGCCUUUAAACACUUCCACUUUUCUGGAGAAUAAGUAAAUCAAAUUUGGAGGGUUGGUACCAACUCGGAGCAAAAUUUGAGAUACCAAGGUUACCUGUCUGCGGUGGAAACGUUAUGGAAGGCGUAGCUCCACUCGGAAAAAUGAUCUACAUCCCGAUUUUAUCGAUCGUCUGUAGUAUUAUAACUAUAAAUAUAUUAUAACUUUGGCAUCUGACAACCUCUAUAGUUAUGGUAAAUCGAUGGCCACUGCAUCCAGGGUGAAAUACAGACCGUCAUUUAGGGCUUAAUUAUUAAAAAGAAAUCGUUGUUAACAAUCUAUACCUCGGAAUUUUAUAAUUCCAUUAUGGCCUAAAUGUAGGUUAGGCCACUCCAUUAAAAUGCUAGGUAGUUAAAUGGAGUUAAGCGCGCCGAGUUACAACCAUUUGUCUUCUAUCAACAAUUUUGACAUUAAGAAACAAAAGAAGCUUAGCAGCGCUUUAUAUAUAUAUAUAUAUUUUGAAAAUGAAAAACGGUUAUAUUUUUCUGUGUAGAAAAGAAAAAUGUUGAACCCAACACAGGCCCGCCCGAUCAUAACUUUCGACUGGCUUAGUUGGCCGCAGUUUUUCAUUAUAGAGCAAAUCUGUUAUAACACGAAAAACAUAAAUUUAAAAAGCAAUAAUUCUGUUUAUCUGUAUGGUAAAGGAUGCGACCCGCAUCCGGAGAUAUAUCCCUUCAACCACUGGAAAAUUGACGGCAGGCAUUUUAAAAUUUAAAGCUGUCGGAGUCGACCAGUUUAUCCAGCUCUGAGCAAUAACAUUAAGCCAGGGGCAGCGCGAGAUUUAGUAGACAAUGAGCGUGACUCAUAUAUUGACAAUGUUCUAUUACUCUUUGGCUAUCAGUGGUUGGCUCUAUAAAGACUAUAGCCUCCAUAUAUUUCCGUCAUAAAACCAUUUCGUGUAAACAAUGCCCAUCCUUCGUUUUGAUUCGGCUUUACUUUUUAUAUUUUUUUUCUUUGUAUAAAUUAAAUAAUUCAUUAGUUUACGCUGGUGUUUUUUCUUUUUCAGCCGGUGGAUAAUUACGAUUUAUCCUUGAAUAUGACGGAUCCCAACGCCGAGGCCUACAUG